GGCCAGGUAGCUCAGUCGGUACGAGCGUCCGCCUGAAAAGCGGAAGGUCGGCGGUUCGAUCCCGCCCCUGGCCACUA
rnacentral:tRNA from 2 species